UAUAUAUAUAUAUAUUAUUAUUAUAGGCUUAUACAGUACAUAGUUCUCCAGCAAAGAUUUGAAGUGUUUGCCUUUUUUUACAUUGUAUCCAAAGAAUGUUCAAAAUCAAUUCCUAUUACUAAUGGCUUGUUUCUAUGUCAGUUUAGAAUGAAGUUUUAUGCUGAAGUAAAUUAAAUGGUACGUGGAGAGUCUCACACACACACACACACACACACUGGGUGUGUCUAUUUCCUUUCACAGAGUGACUACUGCAGUCUGGGACACCUGCAGCUCUUCUUCCUCCAGUUGAACACAAUCUCACUGAUUAGUCAGGCACCACAGGAACUGUGUGAACCAAACACAACGCCUGAUUUUGGACUGAGGGAAACUGUAGGUUUCUAGUAGGGUAACCCAACUGUAGGUUUCUAGUAGGGUAACCCAACUGUAGGUUUCUAGUAGGGUAACCCAACUGUAGGUUUCUAGUAGGGUAACCCAACUGUAGGUUUCUAGUAGGGUAACCCAACUGUAGGUUUCUAGUAGGGUAACCCAACUGUAGGUUUCUAGUAGGGUAACCCAACUGUAGGUUUCUAGUAGGGUAACCCAACUGUAGGUUUCUAGUAGGGUAACCCAACUGUAGGUUUCUAGUAGGGUAACCCAACUGUAGGUUUCUAGUAGGUUAACAGAACUGUAGGUUUCUAGUAGGGUAACCCAACUGUAGGUUUCUAGUAGGGUAACCCAACUGUGGGUUUCUAGUAGGGUAACCCAACUGUAGGUUUCUAGUAGGGUAACCCAACUGUAGGUUUCUAGUAGGGUAACCCAACUGUAGGUUUCUAGUAGGGUAACCCAACUGUAGGUUUCUAGUAGGGUAACCCAACUGUAGGUUUCUAGUAGGGUAACCCAACUGUAGGUUUCUAGUAGGGUAACCCAACUGUAGGUUUCUAGUAGGGUAACCCAA